GUCGGCAGUAGGGAGGAGUCCAAGCUGAUUUGGACUCUUUAGGUUUUAUCCAAUUAAGUCUCUAAUCUAAUAAAAUUAGGUUAAAUCAAUUAGAUCAACAUGAACUCAAUCCAAUUAGGUUCUAAAUAUGAUUAAAUCCUAAUCAAAUCAGAAUUUAAUUAAGCUCAAGUUUUGAUCAAAUUAGGAACCAUUUACCCUU
rnacentral:lncRNA from 1 species